rnacentral:sRNA from 1 species
GUUGCGACCCGACUUGAACGGAAAUCCUUUUUUCGGCAGGCCUUUGGAAAGGGCGAAAAAAGAUUGGGAGUGGAAGGCGGAAAUGUUC